rnacentral:rRNA from 1 species
UACGGGGGGGGCAAGCGUUUGUUCGGAAUUGCUGGGCGUAAAGGGCUCGUAGGCGGCCAACUAAGUCGGAUGUGAAAUCCCCAGGCUUAACCUGGGAACUGCAUCCGAUACUGGAUGGCUUGAAUCCGGGAGAGGGAUGCAGAAUUCCAGGUGUAGCGGUGAAAUGCGCAGAUAUCGGGAGGAACACCGGUGGCGAAGGCGGUUCUCUGGGCAUUACCUGACGCUGAGGAGCGAAAGUGUGGGGAGCGAACAGG